rnacentral:rRNA from 1 species
GAUGAACGCUGGCGGCGUGCCUAAUACAUGCAAGUCCAGCGAACGGACGAGAAGCUUGCUUCUCUGAUGUUAGCGGCGGACGGGUGAGUAACACGUGGAUAACCUACCUAUAAGACUGGGAUAACUUCGGGAAACCGGAGCUAAUACCGGAUAAUAUUUUGAACCGCAUGGUUCAAAAGUGAAAGACGGUCUUGCUGUCACUUAUAGAUGGAUCCGCGCUGCAUUAGCUAGUUGGUAAGGUAACGGCUUACCAAGGCAACGAUGCAUAGCCGACCUGAGAGGGUGAUCGGCCACACUGGAGCUGAGACACGGUCCAGACUCCUACGGGAGGCAGCAGUAGGGAAUCUUCCGCAAUGGGCGAAAGCCUGACGGAGCAACGCCGCGUGAGUGAUGAAGGUCUUCGGAUCGUAAAACUCUGUUAUUAGGGAAGAACAUAUGUGUAAGUAACUGUGCGCAUCUUGACGGUACCUAAUCAGAAAGCCACGGCUAACUACGUG